rnacentral:rRNA from 1 species
AAUAUAUCGGAACGUACCCUGGAGUGGGGGAUAACGUAGCGAAAGUUACGCUAAUACCGCAUACGAUCUAAGGAUGAAAGUGGGGGAUUCGCAAGAACCUCAUGCUCCUGGAGCGGCCGAUAUCUGAUUAGCUAGUUGGUAGGGUAAAAGCCUACCAAGGCUUCGAUCAGUAGCUGGUCUGAGAGGACGACCAGCCACACUGGAACUGAGACACGGUCCAGACUCCUACGGGAGGCAGCAGUGGGGAAUUUUGGACAAUGGGCGCAAGCCUGAUCCAGCAAUGCCGCGUGAGUGAAGAAGGCCUUCGGGUUGUAAAGCUCUUUUGUCAGGGAAGAAACGGUGAAGGCUAAUAUCCUUUGCUAAUGACGGUACCUGAAGAAUAAGCACCGGCUAACUACGUGCCAGCAGCCGCGGUAAUACGUAGGGUGCAAGCGUUAAUCGGAAUUACUGGGCGUAAAGCGUGCGCAGGCGGUUUUGUAAGUUUGUCGUGAAAGCCCCGGGCUCAACCUGGGAAUUGCGAUGAAGACUGCAAGGCUUGAAUCUGGCAGAGGGGGGUAGAAUUCCACGUGUAGCAGUGAAAUGCGUAGAGAUGUGGAGGAACACCGAUGGCGAAGGCAGCCCCCUGGGUCAAGAUUGACGCUCAUGCACGAAAGCGUGGGGAGCAAACAGGAUUAGAUACCCUGGUAGUCCACGCCCUAAACGAUGUCUACUAGUUGUCGG